GGAGAGUUGGCAGAGUGGUCUAACGCGGCGGUCUUGAAAACCGUUGUCCUGCAAGGGACCGAGGGUUCGAAUCCUUCACUCUCCG
rnacentral:tRNA from 1 species